CACAAUGGGACAGAGAGAGCUAAAGAGACAGGGAACCCAAGACCAUUCAUUGGCCAGAUCUGCAUGAUGCUCUUAUCAUUGGGAAGAUGGUCAAAGAGAGAUUGAUUUGAAUGCUGUAUGAUUGCCUAUUUCUGCAGAAUGUACUGGAAUUAGUAAGUGUAUGAGUGACCUCACUAGCAAGUGAAAGGAAGGCCAAAAUGGAAGAGAAGAUUCCUGGAAUUAUAGAACAAGGCAGGACGGAAUCGGCACAUGUCUUGAUGGAGAAUGUGGAACAAAACCCCAAAUUCAGCUGAACACAUUCAAUUCAUUCUGAUGUCUUGGCCUUCUGAAAGGAUCAAACGCCUCCAUCCGGUUGUCAAGAUCCGCCACACUAGGAGUAGCUGGUGGGCACUCAGUUGUCUCGGGAAUAUCUGCUCACCAGACCAUUUCUCUCCCACUCCCACUCACUCCGCUUUGAGUCUUUCUGCCGAACUGAUGGGUCUCACGUGUACGGUCACCUCGCACCAGAACCUGGUCUUCACAGUGAAACAUUCACAGAGCGGAGCGGGCUCUGCUCACAGAGUGACUGAGCCAUGUUCAGGAGGAAGAGUGAGCCAAGGAUGUCUGGAGAGACAAACGCAGUGAUCCUUCAGCCUUUGCCGGAUAUACCUAUUUCUCUAUUAAAACUUGUACUUGUCUCCCCAUUCCAACCUCUCUAUUCCUUUCAGUUUCUCAACUGAAUUCGAUUUUCAGUCUUCCUUGCAAUUCACCCCAUCUUUCUUCUUAAGCCCCCAAUCCCUUCAAAUGGGUGAGUCUUACAUGUCCCUAAAUACCCA
rnacentral:lncRNA from 1 species